GACGAACUCUGGCGGCGUGCUUAACACAUGCAAGUCGAACGGUAAGGCUCCAGCUUGCUGGGGUACACGAGUGGCGAACGGGUGAGUAACACGUGGGUGACCUGCCCUGCACUUCGGGAUAAGCCUGGGAAACUGGGUCUAAUACCGGAUAGGACCGCACCGUGAGGGUGUGGUGGAAAGUUUUUUCGGUGUGGGAUGGGCCCGCGGCCUAUCAGCUUGUUGGUGGGGUAAUGGCCUACCAAGGCGGCGACGGGUAGCCGGCCUGAGAGGGUGGACGGCCACAUUGGGACUGAGACACGGCCCAGACUCCUACGGGAGGCAGCAGUGGGGAAUAUUGCACAAUGGGCGGAAGCCUGAUGCAGCGACGCCGCGUGGGGGAUGACGGCCUUCGGGUUGUAAACUCCUUUCACCAUCGACGAAGGGUUUCUGACGGUAGAUGGAGAAGAAGCACCGGCUAACUACGUGCCAGCAGCCGCGGUAAUACGUAGGGUGCGAGCGUUGUCCGGAAUUACUGGGCGUAAAGAGCUCGUAGGUGGUUUGUCGCGUCGUCUGUGAAAUUCCGGGGCUUAACUCCGGGCGUGCAGGCGAUACGGGCAUAACUUGAGUACUGUAGGGGAGACUGGAACUCCUGGUGUAGCGGUGAAAUGCGCAGAUAUCAGGAGGAACACCGGUGGCGAAGGCGGGUCUCUGGGCAGUAACUGACGCUGAGGAGCGAAAGCAUGGGGAGCGAACAGGAUUAGAUACCCUGGUAGUCCAUGCCGUAAACGGUGGGCGCUAGGUGUGGGUUUCCUUCCACGGGAUCCGUGCCGUAGCUAACGCAUUAAGCGCCCCGCCUGGGGAGUACGGCCGCAAGGCUAAAACUCAAAGGAAUUGACGGGGGCCCGCACAAGCGGCGGAGCAUGUGGAUUAAUUCGAUGCAACGCGAAGAACCUUACCUGGGCUUGACAUAUACAGGAUCGCGCCAGAGAUGGUGUUUCCCUUGUGGCUUGUAUACAGGUGGUGCAUGGUUGUCGUCAGCUCGUGUCGUGAGAUGUUGGGUUAAGUCCCGCAACGAGCGCAACCCUUGUCUUAUGUUGCCAGCACGUUGUGGUGGGGACUCGUAAGAAACUGCCGGGGUUAACUCGGAGGAAGGUGGGGAUGACGUCAAAUCAUCAUGCCCCUUAUGCCCAGGGCUUCACACAUGCUACAAUGGUCGGUACAGUGGGUUGCCAGUCCGUGAGGGCGAGCUAAUCCCGCAAAGCCGGUCUCAGUUCGGAUCGGGGUCUGCAACUCGACCCCGUGAAGUCGGAGUCGCUAGUAAUCGCAGAUCAGCAACGCUGCGGUGAAUACGUUCCCGGGCCU
rnacentral:rRNA from 1 species